GUAGGGAAUAUUGCGCAAUGGACGAAAGUCUGACGCAGCGACGCCGCGUGAGUGAUGAAGGCCUUAGGGUCGUAAAGCUCUGUUGAAUGGGAAGAAAAAAAUGACGGUACCAUUCGAGGAAGGACCGGCUAACUUCGUGCCAGCAGCCGCGGUAAUACGAGGGGUCCUAGCGUUGUUCGGAAUCAUUGGGCGUAAAGGGUGUGUAGGUGGCCAUGUAAGUCAGGUGUGAAAGCCCCGGGCUCAACCCGGGAAGUGCACUUGAUACUGCGUGGCUUGAGUACCGAAGAGGGUAGUGGAAUUCCAGGUGUAGUGGUGAAAUACGUAGAUAUCUGGAGGAACACCGGUGGCGAAGGCGACUACCUGGUCGAGUACUGACACUGAGACACGAAAGCAUGGGGAUCAAACAGGAUUAGAAACCCUUGUAGUCC
rnacentral:rRNA from 1 species